AUGAAGACCUUAUUUAAAUGUGGAAUUUUGAAUUCGAAUUCAUACAAAAUUUUGUCGAACUCUCAAUUUCUGUCACCUCGAGUUGUUCAGCUCAUCUGCAUUUCGAAUUUUUCAUCAAAAUCUCAUAAAACUUCGAAGAAAAUAGCCAAAGAUGGUGAUCCAAAUAACCCCGGGGAUCCACUUUUCGGUGAGAUCCUCAAAAUUAUGGAUAGUGAAGGCAAUGAAUUUGAAAGAAACGCUCCUUUUGUGUUUUCAGCAAUGAAAGAUGUAAACUUUGAAGGAAAUGUGGCAAAUUCGGGAGCAUAUCCGUGUAGGCUGCAAGGUGUUUGUGGAAAUGCCGAUGAGAAAAAUGAUGAGUCUUUGGCUUUGGAUGAAAUCGAGGCGGUAGAUGUUGGUCCGGUUGUUUUUAAAGUGAUUGGGAUUGUUAGGUGCGAGAACAGCUCGCUUUCCAUGGAGGAACGGUUGGAAAAGGCUGAUUGUAGAUAUAAUGAAGAGGUUGUUGUCAGUGUGCUGAAGAAGUGUUUCAAAGUUCCCAAAUUGGGACUAAAGUUCUUCAAUUGGGUGAAAAGCAGAGAAGGGUUUCGACACACGACCAACACCUUCAAUGCGAUGAUAAAUGUAGCCGGGGAAGCUGAGGAGUUUGGGUUGGUUGAGGAGUUGGUUGAGGAAAUGGGGAAGAGUGCUUGUGAGAAGGAUUUGAGGACGUGGACGAUUCUUGUGUCGUGCUAUGGCAGUAGAAAACGGAUUGGGAAAGCAUUGGUGGCGUUCCAGGAGAUGAAGAGAGCUGGUAUCGAGCCUGAUGCAGUUGCAUACAGAACAAUGCUGCGGACGCUCUGCAAUGCUAGAAAGGCUGAUAUUGCAUUGGAGUACUACGAGGAUAUGGUUCGUAAUGAGGUGAAAUUAGAUGUAGAUUUGUGUAAACAGUUGAUGAAAUGCUUUGCAUUGUGUGGAAAUAUUGAUGCUGCUCGCUUGGUUGGCGAAAACAUGAUCAAAUCUGAGAUUUCCGAAUCUCAAGUUUAUGGUAUGAUGUUAAAAAGUUUUUGUAUAGCAGGGAAGAUCACUGAAUCAUUGGAGUUGAUUCGUGAUCUGGAGAAUAAAGACAUCUCACUUGAUAUGGGGAUGUUCGAGGCGUUGGUGAAAGGGCUUUGUAGCAGAGAUAGGAUUGAAGACGCGAUGGAGAUACUUGAGAUACUGAAGAAGAGGAAUGUAUUUGAUCAGAACAUAUACGGAAUACUUAUUAGUGCGUAUUUGGGGAGAAAUCGAGUUUCUGAGGCAUUCGGUCUUUUUCAAGAGGCGAAAGGGUAUGGAAAUGUUUUGAUCUCCACAUACACGAAAUUGAUGCAACACUUUUUCUGGAAGGGUGAAUUUCAUAAGGGUUUGGAGAUGUACAAUGAGAUGCUUCGGCUGGGAUUGAGAUUGGAUAGUGUGGCUAUAACUGCUGUUGCAGCUGGUUAUGUUCAGCAAAAUCGGAUUUCUGAGGCAUUGGAAGUGUUUAAGAGUAUGUUUGAGAUGGGAAUUAGGCCUUCAUCAAAAUCGUAUUUGGUUUUCAUUAAGGAGAUGUGUAAGAUAUGCAAAGCAGAUGAGGUAGUCGAGAUUUUGAAUGAAAUGCAGGUCUGCAAACUAAGUAACGUAGACGAGAUAUUGAGUGAGGUUCGAUCUUAUCUUGAGAAGAAAGGAAAUGUAGAGAAGGUGAAUGCUAUUAAUAGGUUUUGUACGUCUUUUCAUAGAAGCGUAAACAAAAAAAAUGCUGAUCAGUGCAAUGAACCAGAAAAGUUGGAUCCGAAUCCAAUGCUGCAGAGAAGGCCGGCUCGCUUUGAGGAGUCUGAAACGAGACAAGAUGGCUACCCUGAUGCACAAGAAGUUCGCCUAAUUUUAUCAUCCUCGGAUGAUUGGUGCUCUAUACAAGAGAAGCUAGAGAGACUCGGUUUCCAGUUUACACCUGACCUUGUUGUGGAAAUUUUACGAAGUUCCAGCCUUGAUAUCGGUAUUGCCUUGAAGUUCUUUGCGUGGAUCGGGAAACAGCCUAAUUACAGUCACAAUGAGAAAUCAUACAACAUGGCCAUGAAAAUUGCUGGUCAGGGGAAAAACUUUAAGGAGAUGAAAAGCUUGUUUUAUGAGAUGAGGAGACGGGGCUACUUGAUAACAGCUGACUCGUGGACAAUCAUGAUAAUGCAGUAUGGUCGAACAGGGUUGACGGAUCUGGCUUUGAGUUGUUUUAAAGAGAUGAAGCUGAGCACGUGUAAACCAACCAAAAGCACAUAUUUCUCUAUGAUAGCCUCGCUUUGUGGAAAGAAGGGCCGCAAAGUUGAUGAGGCGAUCCAGAUAUACGAGGAAAUGAUGCAAGCGGGGCUUGUUCCGGGUAAAGAAUUGGUUGAGGCUUAUGUUGGCUGUUUAUGUGAAGUCAAUAGAUUGUCGGAUGCCAGAAGAUGCGUUGAUUCUUUACACAAAUUUGGUUUCUCGAUUCCACUGUCGUACUCCUUGUAUGUCCGGGCCCUUUGUCGUGCAGGGAAGCUGGACGAAGCUUUAGCCCUAGUCGAUGAAGCUGGCUGUGAAAAGCAUCUCCUGCAGCAGUAUACCUAUGGUAGUCUUGUUCAUGGCUUGUUACGACAGGGGCGGGCAGAGGAGGCGUUGGAAAAGAUAAAUUGCAUGAAACAGCUCGGCUUUCACCCUACUGUUCAUGUGUAUACAUCGUUGAUUGUUCAUUUCUUUAAAGAUAGAGACACAAACAGAGCUUUGGCUACUCUUGAAGAAAUGAAAGAACAUGGCUGUCAGCCUACUGUAGUCACAUAUUCAGCUCUGUUGUGCGGUUACGUGAGAUUGGGGAAGGUUAGUGAGGCUUGGGAUGUUUUCCACCGUCUGAAAAGGGAAGGCCCGUCGCCUGAUUUCAAGACUUAUUCUAUGUUCAUAGAUUGCCUCUGUGGAACAGGCAAGUCAGAGGAUGCUUUCACACUUAUCCCCGAAAUGCUGCGUGAUGGGAUUGUCCCGAGUACUGUCAACUUUCGAACGAUUAUGUAUGGACUUAAUAGAGAGGGAAAACCAAAUCUUGCACAGGCUGUUCUAAAGAAGAAGUUGGAUCUCAAAAGAAGAAGACAAGUGGUAACAUAGUUCUACUCCUGUCAAUAUGUUCAACACUUCAGCUAGAGUAUGAAACUUUCUGAAUCAAGCACCGUCUGUGCUUUGAGUGCACAACACUAUCCUGUCUGAAAAGGGAUGUGACUUGAUACCUAAAUUGCCAUAAACGGCUUGAUCCCACAUCAGGGGCAGUGACUGAAUGAAGUCGAGGAGCACAAUGAACGUUGCUCAAGAGCAAGCACUUCCAAAGGCAGGCCUCUCUCAGCAAGCAGCUCAGCAUAGUUCACAUAGCAGUGCUUCAGAGACGGGGCAAUUAUAAUACUCGGUGAUGACAUCAAAGAUCCUUCGCUGCUCUAUGAAAUAGAGAGUACUUCCAUUCCAUAAUAUCACAGGUGGUUGAAAUCAGUUGAGCAACCAAAGGUCUGUCCUAACAUUGCAACUGUAGUUAAGAAGUAUCUCUUAAAGAAGCUCUUUCAAUCUCGUUUAUAGCACGGUCUAUGAAUGUUUUAGUUGGAAGAAGAAAGAUUUGUAGAGUUUUAGUUCCUUACUUAAGUCAGUCAAUCUCUUAAAGGAUUAGAUAUUAUCAGCAUUCUUCUUGAUGAUAUGAGUGUAGAUCUGUCCCAUUUUUGUUUUCUAGUUU